rnacentral:lncRNA from 1 species
CUGACUUCCUGUUGCCUUCAAGAUGUAGGACUCUCAGCUCCAGCACCACAUCUGCCUUCAUGCUGCAUGUUCCCUUUCAUGGCCAUAUGGAAUGAACUUCUGAAACUGCUGUCAUUUUCCUGCCCAGGGUCCAGAGGAUUCUCUGCUGCUGCCAGUGUGAGCUGUCAGAACUGCCCUGUCUCUGAAGAGUACAGUCCCUAGCACUGGAUAAGCACCACUUCUGGAAGGUUGCUGGAUAUGAAGAGAGGGGAACAAGGCAUCCCCAAAUCCUAUUGCAUUCAUUUUCUCACAUCCUCCCGCCAUCUGUGCUUCCUUCUUCUGGCUGUACUUCCAAACUAAAACUGGGGAGGAAAAGGAAUCUCGAUGAACAGGAAUCAUCCGCUGAAGAAGCCAAUGGACUGUUUUUGAUACAUUGUAAAGGCCUGCACCUGACCUUUUACCUCUGGAACUGCACUAAACUCUGCAGUUCCAUUUCAACCUGUGAUGCCGCUACAACAAACAGCAGCAGCAACAAGAACAACAGCUUCCCAGAGGUCUCCAGCUGGUUAGGUGGCUCAACCCUAUGGACUCCAGGAUAGAUAGAUUUACUUUGUGAUAUGCAAUGUGAUCUGAGAACUGAUAUCAAUAGUUAAUAUUAGAGUAAAAGAACAAGCAUUUGCCUUGGUUAGGGUUAUCAAGGAAAAUGGUGGUAUCUAUGAAAUUCCUAUCAUUGAAACCUU